rnacentral:rRNA from 1 species
GACGAACGCUGGCGGCGUGCUUAACACAUGCAAGUCGAACGGUGAAGCGAGUGCUUGGCCUCGUGGAUCAGUGGCGAACGGGUGAGUAACACGUGAGUAACCUGCCCAUCGCUCUGGGAUAAGCAUUGGAAAGGGUGUCUAAUACUGGAUACGACCACCCCUUGCAUGGGGUGUUGGUGGGAUGAGUUAUCGGUGGUGGUAGGACUCGCGGCCUGUCAGCUUGUUGGCGGGGUAAUGGCUCACCAAGGCGACGACGGGUAGCCGGCCUGCGAGGGGGAUCGGCCACACUGGGACUGAGACACGGCCCAGACUCCUACGGGAGGCAGCAGUGGGGAAUAUAACACAAUGGGCGAAAGCCUGAUGCAGCGACGCCGCGUGAGGGAAGACGGCCUUCGGGUUGUAAACCUCAUUCAGCAGGGAAGAAGCGAAAGUGACGGUACCUGCAGAAGAAGCACCGGCUAACUACGUG